rnacentral:rRNA from 1 species
GACGAACGCUGGCGGAGUGCUUAACCCAUGCAAGUCGAACAGUGGCGAAGGGGUGAGUAACACGUUAGUAACUUGCUCUCCAAUUUGGGAUAACUCAGAGAAAUCUGGGCUAGUACUUGAUAGUGUGGGUUGGGCUCGAGGCCUAUCAGUUUGUUGGUGAGGUAGUGGUCACCAAGGCGUGACAGGUAGCCGGCCUGGGAGGGCGACCGGCCACACUGGGACUGGGACACGGCCCAGACUCGUACUGGAGGCAGCAGGGGGGAAUAGUGCACAAUGGGGGAAAGCAUGAUGCAGCGACGCCGCGUGGGGGAUGACGGCCUUCGGGUUGUAAACCUCAUUCAGAAAGGAAGCGGUACUUGCAGAAGAAGCGCGGGCUAACUACGUGCCAGCAGCCGCGGUAAUAC